AUGGAGACUCACUGCUGUAAGGACUUGGU
rnacentral:piRNA from 1 species